rnacentral:lncRNA from 1 species
ACCCUGACUACUUUUAUCCUGGGUCAUGGCUAUCUUAAUAAAGUGGAUUCAAAAUUAAACCAAACCAAGAACCAUCUAGUUCAUUCAGAAUCAUUUACUACUUGAAAGGAGGAAAAAUCUUCUACAAUGAAAAGGGAUUGCAGGUAUUCCUUAAUAAAAUGACCAUACUUCAUGUCAUGAAUAGUGAAAGAAUUGGACAUCGUGGGUCUCCUGGAAGAAUUGAAUAUGAAGAAUACAACCUCACCUAUGGACUAUUAUCAUCCAGAGUGCUGCAAAGCUCUUGCAAAGCAAAAAGGCCCAUGGAAGAUGGGACAUGCUUAUGUGAACAAGACCUCAUGUCAACUCCAUUCCUCCCCCAGAUGGGACCUUCUGGUUGCAAAAAAACAAGCUCAGGGCCCUCACUGAUUCUACAUUCUGUGCCCAGUCCAAUGCCUGGCACACAGGAAAUGCAUGCUGGAUGAACAUGUCUUGAGCAGCAAAACUGGAGACCUUGCUGAAUAUAUCAGGGGUUGCUGUAUAAUUUACUGUGUUCUGUCUGUCCAGUGAAUUCCACAUUAUAGUCAGUUCAUUCAUUCUACAAGUAUAGUAGUUUAGUUGCUACUGUUUCUAGACUAUGCCAGUGAGCCUCUGUGGUCAGCUUUUACCCUAUGUUCAUGUAGCUCCAUGGCCCUGGGCUGCACCUUUGGGGAGAUGUGCUUCCUCUUUAGUGUAAGAAAUGCCGUAAUCUAUUAUUUCUCAUCUAUCCUUAUUUUGUAACAACUCCAGUAGUUAGUAUAAAUGGAGAAUAUGAGAUUCUACUACGAACUACAGAAUCAAAGAUUGGAAAAACCUACAUUUUCAAGAAAGAGGAGAGUCGAAUAAAGCUUGGUACAUUAGGAGGAUACCAUGCUUUGUUUCCAUAUAAAAGUGUGCUUCUGUAAGUAUUGACAUGUGUAUACAUAAAAUAUCUCUGCAGGGGGAUUAAACAAGAAAUCUGUAAAAUUGACCAUCUGUAAGUGGUAGGGGGUUGGGCACUGUA